AUUGAACGCUGGCGGCAGGCCUAACACAUGCAAGUCGAGCGGAGCGGCGGACGGGUGAGUAAUGCCUAGGAAGCUGCCUGGUAGUGGGGGAUAACGUCCGGAAACGGGCGCUAAUACCGCAUACUAUCAGAUGAGCCUAGGUCGGAUUAGCUAGUUGGUGGGGUAAAGGCCUACCAAGGCGACGAUCCGUAACUGGUCUGAGAGGAGGAUCAGUCACACUGGAACUGAGACACGGUCAAGACUCCUAUGGGAGGCAGCAGUGGGGAAGAUUGGAGAAUGGGCGAAAGCCUGACUCAGCCAGGCCGCGUUGGUGAAGAAGGUCUUCGGAUUGUAAAGCACUGUAAGUUGGGAGGCGUUACCAACAGAAUAAGCACCGGAUAACUUCGUGCCAGCAGCCGCGGUAAUUC
rnacentral:rRNA from 1 species